GUUUUAAAAACAUGGUUUGGAAGUACCGGUUAAAACUGUCCGCAGUGCUUGAGGGAUCUAGCCUGUGGACAUGGCAGGUGUUAUAACAGAGAGGAACAUGGACAUAUGUGGCCCGCCUGCAUCCUGAGCUUCUUAAAGGGGCAUCCCUCUUGUAACAGGACUCACAGGCUUUGUGCUUUUCUUGCAGGAAUAUGGGACGAUCAGGUCUGCGAGUCUCUUGUGUGGGAAUAGGGAGCUGGGUCACACUCGGGUCUCAGAUCUCAGACGAGGCUGCUGAAGAAAUCCUGACCCUCGCCUACGAGAACGGGGUCAACCUGUUUGAUACCGCGGAGACCUACGCUUCUGGAAGG